AUGAGUGUCUAAUUGUGUUUUAAAUGUGUGCAUUCUUUAUUUUAGCAUUUUGGUUCAUUUUCUUUAAAAAUUAAAAAUUCUGUCUAAAAACCACAGUAAUGCGCCACCUUCAGCUGAAAACAUAGAAUUUGAGUCAUUUUGAAUAAAUUUUAGCCAAUGGCUAAAGAGUAAAGUACUACGUAAACCAGUAGAGUACUACGUAGCAGCUCCGUGCCAAAGUUAUAAAAGCAACGAGAGUCUCGGCCACGCCCUGUGGCGCGUGGGAGUUGGAUUUGCAAGCGAGCUUAGGAGGGCAGCGGUAGUUCAGCAUUAGCAUAUAGCAUUAGCAUAUCCUAGUCUUUAGCAUAUCUUUUAGUGUUAUAAAUACUUAUUUAGUGUUAGCUUGGCUGUUGGAUAUUGUAGUUUAGUUAGUGUUUGGCUGUUAGCGUAAUUGGGAAAGUAUUUCGGUUUUAGUGUUCAUAUCGUCUUAGUAUUGGUGAGAUGGUGUAAUGUAGUAUGCUUGCGGUGACUCUGUGGGCAUUUUACCCGCGAUUCUGCACGUCUCCGUUUGAAGAGGGAGGCUGCCCACCGUGGCUCUUCCGCGAUUUAGAUGCAGCCCACCGACUCUGCUCCCCCACCACGGCGGGCUCCAGUCUGAGGUGAGUAAGCUAAAUAAACGUUUUAACAUCUUCUAAAGACAAUUCCCUACCUAAAUGCAAAGUCUGAGAGACGUGGUUCACUUCCUUUAGCUAGUCAGUUGGCAAUUCUGCAACAGUGGCUCUAACUGACGCAGCAGUUGACAGACAGCAUUACAGCGUGAAAUCCAGCUGGUGACCCGGUUCUGUGAGGAAUUCUGUUCAGGAGGUCACAUUUCAGGCUCUCCACAUCAUGUGUGACUGACUUUUACGUUAUAACAACGAUCACACACUAGGAAUGUUAUAAAGCGCCUAUAUAGGAGAUUCUUUUGUAUAUUAUCUGACUUUAUAAACUCCAACAACAAUGUGCUUCUAUUUUUUUUCAGGCUAAAUCUACCCAAGACACUGGUUGUCAGACUGAUUUAGCUGCAAGAAUGCACUUGUCCAGGCUGAUGUGAAACCUUCCCUGUAGCAAAGCCAGUCAGAAUGGAGUUCACAGCCGCAGUGUGUCUGGUGACCCACGGUGACCAUGAUGAAAAUUCAUCUUCCAGAAAGUCCCAGAGCGUCCAGACCCCCUGAAAAGACCAAGAUGUAAGGUGUCUGCUGUUGAUUCCAGCUUCCACCUCAGUGACAGUGCAAGCUCAGUGAACUGUUCAAGCCUGGCUGAUCACCUGAUAACUCCUGUCAUCUGGUUAUGACAGCAUGAGGAUGUCCUCACACACCUGUAACCUAUCAGCUCAUCUGGCAGAAUAGAGAGAGAAGAGACAACACCACAUCUCCUGUUCCUGGAAAGCCUUCAGCCAUCCUUUGAUGACUGAGAACCUCCAUCAGCUCUGUCUCCUGUCUGCCUACAAUUAUUAUAAUAAAUAUUGUGUUUGACAAGUU